UAUUUUUUUGAAGAAUCAUAUCCACAAAACUCUAGUUUACUAAGAAGAAUUAGCAUACUACGAGAUUCUUCUCCCAAAAAUCAGUAAAAGAUUGUGAUUUUGAAGAAAAAGGUACUCCCGAUUCUGAAACAACAUGAAAGAAGAAGAAAAAGAAAUUUGUUGCAACUCAACCAACAUCAAAGAAACCUGGUAUUUCUGCCAAAAAAAAAGGUUACAAGGAAUGGAGAAUUCAUAAGUUCCCUGACGAUGGAGAAGACAGUCGGUCUAUGUGUUACCUCAAAGAAUAUUGGAAACUUCAUAAAGUACAUCUGUCAUGCCUUCAAAGGUACUUGUAUGCCUACAUUAUCAAGAACUAGCAGUGGACGUCAUCGUUGAAGGAACACCAUGCUCUACUUUGUGAACUCCAACUGCUAAAUGAGGCCUAAACAGUCUACAUGGAGACACCAAGAUGGAGUUCUGAUUAGUGCAAAUGCCAUAUUAAUUGAUCCCAAGCUAUAUUACUCAUGCAUCAACGGAUUACUAGUCAUUUUAAUGCUUUUAGCUCUACAUAUCGUGUGAUUGACACCUUGUGAUCAAGAGUGAAAAAAUGUCAUCGGUUAUGCCAGUAUUGUGUAUCUCUGAUCGAGUAAGAUUUUUUUUUUGAAUGUUAGCUUUAAAAUCAAUAACAUACAACACGCUUUGUC